UUCUGGCUCAGGAUGAACGCUAGCUACAGGCUAACACAUGCAAGUCGAGGGGCAGCAUGAAAGUAGCUUGCACUUUGAUGGCGACCGGCGCACGGGUGCGUAACACGUAUCCAAUCUACCCAUGGCUCAGGGAUAGCCUUUCGAAGAAAGAUUAAUACCUGAUGGUUCAUGAGCCCGCAUGGACUUAUGAAUAAAGAUUUAUCGGCGAUGGAUGAGGAUGCGUCCGAUUAGAUAGUAGGCGGGGUAACGGCCCACCUAGUCGACGAUCGGUAGGGGCUCUGAGAGGAGGAUCCCCCACAUUGGAACUGAGACACGGUCCAAACUCCUACGGGAGGCAGCAGUGAGGAAUAUUGGUCAAUGGGCGAGAGCCUGAACCAGCCAAGUAGCCGUGAGGGAUGACUGCCCUAUGGGUUGUAAACCUCUUUUGUUUGGGAAUAAAGUGAGCCACGUGUGGCUUUUUGUAUGUACCUUACGAAUAAGCAUCGGCUAAUUCCGUGCCAGCCGCCGC
rnacentral:rRNA from 1 species